rnacentral:rRNA from 1 species
AUUGAACGCUAGCGGGAUGCCUUACACAUGCAAGUCGAACGGCAGCGCGGACUUCGGUCUGGCGGCGAGUGGCGAACGGGUGAGUAAUGUAUCGGAACGUGCCCAGUAGCGGGGGACAACCACUCGAAAGAGUGGCUAAUACCGCAUACGCCCUACGGGGAAAGGGGGGGAGUCGCAAGACCUCUCACUAUUGGAGCGGCCGAUAUCGGAUUAGCUAGUUGGUGGGGUAAAGGCCUACCAAGGCGACGAUCCGUAGCUGGUUUGAGAGGACGACCAGCCACACUGGGACUGAGACACGGCCCAGACUCCUACGGGAGGCAGCAGUGGGGAAUUUUGGACAAUGGGGGAAACCCUGAUCCAGCCAUUCCGCGUGUGCGAUGAAGGCCUUCGGGUUGUAAAGCACUUUUGGUCAGGAAAGAAAUCGUGUGGGUUAAUACCCUGCGCGGAUGACGGUACCUGCAGAAUAAGCACCGGCUAACUACGUGCCAGCAGCCGCGGUAAGAGUACUCU